CGCCGAUUUGUCUGGAGGAGUAAUUAAGUAGCUUUAAUUCGUCAUUAUAGCCGUCGCAGGCGUUAUACGGAGGAGAUAGGAAGACAAUGAGUUCUGGAAGGUCUUCUGUAGACGUCGUAACAAAAUUAGGUUGAAGUAAGAAGAUGGCAAAACAAAUGGGUCAUUAAAACUAAAUGGCGUAUUACGCAGCACAGAUUCGUGGCCCAACAACGUAACAUCCAUGAUGACAUGGACAAAUGAUUGGUUGGAAAUUUUUUCGCUGACGUGGAUUGCUUAACAGAGCUUCAUAUUUUCCUUUUAAUAGUAUAAGAUAUUUCUUGAAAAUUCAAUUCAGCCAUUAUCAGUUACUAUAUAAUUUUAAAACAAAAUUUAUAUAUUAAAAAUAAAACUAAUUAAAAAUUAAAAGCCCAAAUAAAAAUCCCCAAUUCUUUUUUCGUUUGAUCAAAUCUGUUUUCUUCUUUAUCUCUCUGUCACUUUCUUGACGAACGCCAUAGUCAGAAGGGGGUGAAUUUCUAUCGAUUCGGUGUAAGCCGUGUCGUGAUUCUAGACGACAUCUCAUUGGUGUCUCAGUUGAUGAUGGAAAGUCCUGGGAAAAAGUUUUGUACAAGAUACGUCAUCAUGUGCUUCAUUGCCAUAUGUUCCUACAUACCUUCCUCUUCCUCAGAGAGAAAGCAACGGUGAGGCCAAAGAAAGUAAGUAGACGAUACAAGGAAGAGAAUGAGGAGAUAGCCGUAAGCAUACGGUGGCUAGCGGAGGUGGUGUGGUGAUGAGAACAGAGAGAGCCAGGAAUGGAGACAAUGAAAGAGAUAGAGAGGAUGCAAGCUGUCAAGUUUUAUCUUCUGUAUACGUAAAUUUUUUUGUCUUCUGUGUACGUAAAACUUUUUUGUUUUACCAAAUGUGUGGUUUAAUAAAUAUGAUCAAUCUUAGUUGAUAGA